CUGUAGGCCGUGUCAAACGGACAUGAUGGUGCUGAAGAACAGGGAGAUUUUUCCGUUUUCUCUCCAUGGCCAACGAAACGGCAGCCGAGCUUCCUAUCCAUCCGGCCU
rnacentral:sRNA from 17 species